rnacentral:sRNA from 1 species
UUUUAGCCCAGAUAGAAGUGAAAAGCAAAGCGCUGUAAAAGGACAAUUUUGCAUAAAAAAAAGAGCGACUAAAAGAAGCUCCUUUUUUUUAUAGCAAAAUGUUGUUUUACAGUGUUUUCUUGUAACGAAUAGCUGGAUUGGCU